UAUGCCUUAAAUAAACUCUAUUCUAUGUGGCUGGUACCUGGGGGGUGGGGGAACGCCUCAGCAUGGGUCCCUAGAGGCACCCCCUUCCCCCACCCAUGCCUUGCCUCCUCCAAACAUAUCCCUGAUUUGUUUAUCUUUUUUAUAAAACACAACACUAAGAACAGCAAUAAAAAAGGCAAUAAAGAGUCGAUUUAGCCAUUCUUUACUUAAAACAACAACAACGAAAACAAAACAAAACAAAUAAACAAAAGUUUAAUUGGAGCGGCCUUAAAGUUUCAGAGGUUUAGUCCAUUAUCAUCAUGGCAGGGAGCAUGGUGUUGUAACGUGCAGACAUGGUGUUGGAGAAGCAGCUGGGAGUUCUGCAUCCGGAUGCGCAGGCAGCACUGAGAAAGAGACUGGGGUGGACACAGGCUUUUGAAACCUCUAAGCCCUCCUCGAAUGAUACACUUCCACCAACAAGGUCGCACCUCUGAAUCCUUCUCAAGCGGCUCCACUCCCUGAUGACUAGGCCUACGGGCCUGGGUUAGCAGAUUUUUCUAAAAUGCCUCUGCAUGUCAGGCUAACAUGCUUUGUGUGCUACGGGAAGACAAAUUCCUACUGUACUAAUUCCCACAUGUGUGAUAGGCUCUCUGUAACGGAGGGGAGGGCCUAAUCAAAAACAGAGAAGAGGCCCAUUUAGAUGGACAAGGACACUCCACUAUUUAGCAAAGAGUUGGCGACAGAGCCAUGUCCCCAGUCUCUUACCAUAAGCCCCAGUUUGGAAAGGAAUUAACGGUGUUGUAGGUUCUAGGAGCAUUUUGUGAUGCAAUGCCCGUAAGUUUCAGCCAUUUUGCAGAGUGAAAGGUCAAGCUUGGGUGAGGUGGAAAUUUCCGGUUUCUUUGGAGACUCUGUUGUGUCAAGUGAUGUUUUUCUGGAAACUGUCUCAUGAGAGGAUUUUUUUUCUGAAGCAGACACGUGGGAGGAGGUUUUGCUGAGAACAGACACGUGGUGUUUUACUGGAGGCAGCCUGGAAAAAGAGUGCGUGCCGCUUCGCUAGAGCAGAUGCCUGAGAGUGCCGUGACGUUUGGAAAGGCAUCCAAUAGGCAGUGGAUGACGCUGUGCUGGUCAUCAUUUGCUGUGAGCUCACAGAAAGAAACAGACCAAAAGCCUUCUGGUGGUGCUCUGCAGGUCUGGGCCCAUUGGCAGAGACUCAAGGACUCUUUUGGAUCGACCUGCCGUCGCUGGUUUGCGAGUGGUGUUUGUGAAUGGAUCGAGCUGUGGCCAAGGAUUCCUGUGAACUGAACAGCUGAUUCCCUGACAGCGUGGAUCUGGUUUGCGCCAAAGAACUAGUUCUAAACAGAUCUCCAGUGUGGAAUAGACGGAAAUCUCCUCUACAGGGCUCACUGUGGUUCACACACAGUCGUCUGCUACCCCCUGAGAAACCAGCUCUUAGAUGCCGAAGUCUAUCUUAAGGCCUUGCUUCAUCUUCGACGUCUCAGAAGAGAGUAAGUGGGUGCUACUCUGGUAGUUUCUCGAAGGAAACGCGGGUCUCGACUCAUCUAAAGCUCAACCUUUUAAAACUCAAAAACCUACUGGUUUCAAGAGUCUACUGCCGAAUCUAAAAUAUGGCUAUUCCUCUUUUUAAUUUUUAUUUAUGUGUAUAUAUGUGCACCUCCUUGUCUGCGUAUGUGCUCAUGGACCCUAGAAGAAUGCUUUAGACCCCCUGGAGCUGGAGUUUCAGCCUGCUACCCCUGGAGUCAACAGAUACCUUGACCAAGCAGAAGAGCCCUGAAUGAGGAAGUGUGAAGGAAUGGGCCAAGGAGGAGUCAGAAGAGAGGACUGGAAGGAACCUGGUAAUGCCUGAGCAGUCUUUAUUCCCCUGGGAGUUCUAGGAUAAAGGCUCUUGUGGUUUUCUUCUGUCUUCUUCCUCUUCUUCUGCCUCAACUCUUCGCUUUCCUCUCCUUGCACCCCACUUUCCUCAUUGCCCUCUGCUUCUCUGAAAUCCCAACUCAUUCUACCUUCAUCUGGUGUAUCUGUAGACAAUGACCCAUCUAAUUCUCCCUUCUGCCAUUGUACGUCAAUGCUGGAGACAUUUCUGCUCGGAUCGAGAAUCACUUCCACGUAAGACACCCACGUAGACUCCAUCUUUCACCCACAGUUUAAAACUUGUCUCACUUUUCUCUUCCUCUCUGUGGAAGGCAGCCCUCCGCUGCACUCAGUGUCCUUCAGUGUUUUGACUUCUUGCUCUGCCUGGGCCCUGUGCUUGGUUGCCUUGGAAAUAGCUCGGAUUCAAUCCUGCCCAAACCCGAUACCUACCAUGGACAGCGGCAGCCUGAGCGUGCGCCCUUUGAUGUAAGAAUUUCUGUAGCUUCCUCUCCCCCUGCUCUGACCAUCCCCUUUGAUCUCUAGCUUACAUCCGUCCUGAUUUAGCUUCAUGCUCUCGCUCUCAGAUUCCAGCCUGUUUCUUGGGUGAAUAGAUUUUGGACGUUAUGGUCUCCCUCUGACUCUGAGCAUCCUUUGGAGUUCUGUUGUUCAUCCUGUGAUCUGGGGAUGGAAAUUCUGCUCGCCAAGGUUCCCAUCUAACUUUGUGGAAUGGGGGAAGGGCUCCGAUCAACUAGCUUUGCUGCUUGCAAGCUUGUGUGCACUGUCUUGACGUUAAUGAUAAUUUUAUUCUGCUUAUUUCUCACUUUCUGGUCUGCAGGGAUUUCUCACUGUCUACAAGAGAAAGUUUAAAUACAUUGGUCUUAUUUAAGCCUUACUGCAUUCUAUGAUCCCAGCAGUCUGGCUGUAUGGCUAACGGCAGCCCUAAAAGAGUUAUGGCGAGGCUGAAAAGAUGGCUCAGUGGUUAAGAGCACUUAGUCGAGUCACAUUAGUGAAUUCCAGGUUCAGUGAGAGACAUUGUCUUCAAAAUUAAGGCGGAUAGAGAUAGAGGAAGACACCUGAUGUCUACCUCUGGCCUGCCCCGUGAACACAUGUGAACACACACACACACACACAUACACCACAUAUACACAUACAUACACACACAUGCACACACUCUCAUACACAUACACAUAUACACAAUACAUAUACACUCACACACAUACACACACAGCACACACACAUGCACAUAUACAUACACACAUAUAUACACAUAAACACACAUAUACACAUACACACAUAUACACACAUAUACACAUACACACGCACAUAUACAUACACACAUAAACACACAUAUACACAUACACACAUAUACACACAUACACACACGCUCACACACAUGCACACACAGGCGCACAUACACAGGCACAUGCACUCAUACACAUACACACAUACACAACACAUAACACACUCACACACAUACACACACAGCACACACACAUGCACAUAUACAUACACACAUAUAUACACAUAAACACACAUAUACACAUACACACAUAUACACACAUACACACACGCUCACACACAUGCACACACAGGCGCACAUACACAGGCACAUGCACUCAUACACAUACACACAUACACAACACAUAA